rnacentral:rRNA from 1 species
UACGUAGGGGGCAAGCGUUGUCCGGAAUCAUUGGGCGUAAAGCGCGUGUAGGCGGCUCGAUAAGUCUGCUGUGAAAGUCCAAGGCUCAACCUCGGGUCUGCAGUCGAUACGGGCGGACUGGAGUUCGGCAGGGGAGACUGGAAUUCCUGGUGUAGCGGUGAAAUGCGUAGAUAUCGGGAGGAACACCUGUGGCGAAGGCGGCCACCUGGUUGGAUACUGACGCUGAGACGCGAAAGCGUGGGGAGCAAACAGG